GAUGAAGAACGUAGCGAAAUGCGAUACUUGGUGUGAAUUGCAGAAUCCCGUGAACCAUCGAGUCUUUGAACGCAAGUUGCGCCCGAAGCCAUUAGGCCGAGGGCACGCCUGCCUGGGCGUCACACGUCGUUGCCCCCCCAUCUACUCCUUCGGGAUUGCGGGGGGCGGAUGAUGGCCUCCCGUGCGCCUUGUCGCGCGGUUGGCAUAAAUACCAAGUCCUCGGCGACGCACGCCACGACAAUCGGUGGUUGCGAAACCUCGGUUGCCUGUCGUGUGCGGUCGUCGCGCAUCGAGGGCUCGAAAAAAUUGCCGAGUUCCGGCUCGGCUUUCAACGCGACCCCAGGUCAGGCGGGGUUACCCGCUGAAUUUAAGCAUAUCAAUAAGCGGAGGA
rnacentral:misc_RNA from 1 species